rnacentral:rRNA from 1 species
GACUCUCGGCAACAGAUAUCUUGGCUCUCGCAUCGAUGAAGAACGUAGCGAAAUGCGAUACUUGGU